rnacentral:rRNA from 1 species
UACGUAGGGGGCAAGCGUUGUCCGGAAUCAUUGGGCGUAAAGAGCGUGUAGGCGGCCCGGUAAGUCCGCUGUAAAAGUCAAAGGCUCAACCUUUGAAUGUCAGUGGAUACUGCCGGGCUAGAGUCCGGAAGAGGCGAGUGGAACUCCUGGUGUAGCGGUGGAAUGCGCAGAUAUCAGGAGGAACACCGAUGGCGAAGGCAGCUCUCUGGUACGUGGCUGACGCUGAGACGCGAAAGCGUGGGGAGCGAACAGG